rnacentral:miRNA from 1 species
AAGCCCAGAUCUGUAGAUUUC